UACGUAGGGUGCAAGCGUUGUCCGGAAUUAUUGGGCGUAAAGAGCUCGUAGGCGGUCUGUCACGUCGGCUGUGAAAUCCCGAGGCUCAACCUCGGGUCUGCAGUCGAUACGGGCAAACUAGAGUAUUGCAGGGGAGACUGGAAUUCCUGGUGUAGCGGUGAAAUGCGCAGAUAUCAGGAAGAACACCCGUGGCUAAGGCGGGUCUCUGGGCCAUAACUGACGCUGAGGAGCGAAAGCGUGGGGAGCGAACAGG
rnacentral:rRNA from 1 species